rnacentral:rRNA from 1 species
AGAUUAAGUUAUUAAGGGCGCACGGUGGAUGCCUUGGCACUAGAAGCCGACGAAGGACGUUACUAACGACGAUAUGCUUUGGGGAGCUGUAAGUAAGCUUUGAUCCAGAGAUUUCCGAAUGGGGAAACCCAGCACGAGUUAUGUCGUGUUAUCUGCAUGUGAAUACAUAGCAUGCAAGAAGGCAGACCCGGAGAACUGAAACAUCUUAGUACCCGGAGGAAGAGAAAGAAAAAUCGAUUCCCUGAGUAGCGGCGAGCGAAACGGGAAGAGCCCAAACCAAUAAGCUUGCUUAUUGGGGUUGUAGGACACUCUGUACGGAGUUACAAAAGAAUUUGUUAGACGAAUAACCUGGAAAGGUUAAUCAGAGAAGGUAAUAAUCCUGUAGUCGAAAACGAAUUCUCUCUUGAGUGGAUCCUGAGUACGACGGAGCACGUGAAAUUCCGUCGGAAUCUGGGAGGACCAUCUCCUAAGGCUAAAUACUCUCUAGUGACCGAUAGUGAACCAGUACCGUGAGGGAAAGGUGAAAAGUACCCCGGAAGGGGAGUGAAAGAGAACUUGAAACCGUGUGCUUACAAGUAGUCAGAGCCCGUUAAUGGGUGAUGGCGUGCCUUUUGUAGAAUGAACCGGCGAGUUACGAUCUGAUGCAAGGUUAAGCAGAAAAUGUGGAGCCGUAGCGAAAGCGAGUCUGAAUAGGGCGAAUGAGUAUUUGGUCGUAGACCCGAAACCAGGUGAUCUACCCUUGGUCAGGUUGAAGUUCAGGUAACACUGAAUGGAGGACCGAACCGACUUACGUUGAAAAGUGAGCGGAUGAACUGAGGGUAGCGGAGAAAUUCCAAUCGAACUUGGAGAUAGCUGGUUCUCUCCGAAAUAGCUUUAGGGCUAGCCUCAAGUGAUGAUUAUUGGAGGUAGAGCACUGUUUGGACGAGGGGCCCCUCUCGGGUUACCGAAUUCAGACAAACUCCGAAUGCCAAAUAAUUUAACUUGGGAGUCAGAAUGUGGGUGAUAAGGUCCAUAUUCGAAAGGGAAACAGCCCAGACCACCAGCUAAGGUCCCAAAAUAUAUGUUAAGUGGAAAAGGAUGUGGCGUUGCCCAGACAACUAGGAUGUUGGCUUAGAAGCAGCCAUCAUUUAAAGAGUGCGUAAUAGCUCACUAGUCGAGUGACACUGCGCCGAAAAUGUACCGGGGCUAAACAUAUUACCGAAGCUGUGGAUUGUCCAUUGGACAAUGGUAGGAGAGCGUUCUAAGGGC